ACCAAGUGUAAGUUGAUAGUGGCGAGAUUAAAAUGCCACGGUGACUCCUCGGUUGAAUCGCGAUCCCGGUCCAUCUUUUUAUGAAGUAUUUUCUGAGGAAAACCAAAUACCAGAAGUAUCUGAUACGUUUAAUGCAAUUGUUGACGAUUUAAGCUCAUCAAUCAGACCUAUUCAUGCAAUUGAAUGAUCAGAGGUCCAAGAUUAUGAUGAGCAUUGGAUUCUCUACGCUCUGGCGAACACUGAGAAGUUUCAAUAGUUCUUGGCCAAAGCUUAAAAGAUAAGGUGCAGUUUGGGGAUUUUGUUGGUAAUCUCACAAGGAUGUAUUGAUAGAUAUCUUCAAGAAUGCUUGACACUGCUGCUGAAAAAUUCUCGGGAAAAUUUGGGGAUUUUGUUUUCUUCGACACAAGCUACGUUUCUUCGCUGAUUUUCAGGAAUGGGUCCUCUGGUCCUAUACUUCUAUGUACUAAAGUUCUAAACUGGAUGACUGCUAUUUUCAGGAAUUGGUCCUCUAAACUAUAGCAACUGUACAUAUUGACCAACACUAAUGAAAUGCAAGUUUUAU